AUUUUUCUCAAUGGGGGCAACCCUGAAGGAGCGACGCCGCGUGGAGGAUGAAGGUUUUCGGAUUGUAAACUCCUGUCAUUGGUGAACAAGGCUCCCGGUUAACUGCCGGGUAGUUUGCUAGUAGCCGAAGAGGAAGGGACGGCUAACUCUGUGCCAGCAGCCGCGGUAAUACAGAGGUCCCGAGCGUUGUUCGGAUUCAUUGGGCGUAAAGGGUGCGUAGGCGGCGGGGCAAGUCUGAUGUGAAAUCCCGGGGCUCAACCCCGGAACUGCAUUGGAUACUGCCUUGCUUGAGUACUGGAGAGGGAACUGGAAUUUACGGUGUAGCAGUGAAAUGCGUAGAGAUCGUAAGGAAGGCCAGUGGCGAAGGCGAGUUCCUGGACAGUUACUGACGCUGAGGCACGAAGGCCAGGGGAGCAAAC
rnacentral:rRNA from 1 species